AGCCAUUGAGAAACUUUGUUUCUUGUCACCAGCCAUCCAAGUACUCUGAUACCAAUUGUUGAAUCCACGUGCACCGGAUUGGAUCGAUCUAGGCUUGUGAUCUAAUAUCUAAUCUCUUUGAGACAAUUCACCAAACACAUUGCAGGCAUAAAUAAAUAAAGACAAAGAAACCAAGAUUUGCGUGGUUCGGCACAAGAGGCCUACAUCCACG
rnacentral:lncRNA from 1 species